UUCGCAAUGCCCGAAAGGGUGACGAAGCGACGCCGCGUGGGUGAGGAAGGCCUUCGGGUUGUAAAACCCUGUCAGGAGUUAUGAAAUGUAAGUGCGCUAAUAUCGUGCUUAUUUGACAAAGGCUCCAAAGGAAGCCACGGCUAACUCUGUGCCAGCAGCCGCGGUAAUACAGAGGUGGCAAGCGUUGUUUGGAAUUAUUGGGCGUAAAGAGCACGUAGGUGGGUUUGUAAGUCAGAUGUGAAAGCCUUCUGUUCAACGGAAGAAUUGCAUCUGAAACUGCGAGUCUUGAGUGUAGGAGGGGAGAAUGGAACUUCUGGUGGAGCGGUGAAAUGCGUAGAUAUCAGAAGGAACGCCGGCGGCGAAAGCGAUUCUCUGGCCUAUUACUGACACUCAGUGUGCGAAAGCUAGGGGAGCAAACGGGAUUAGAUACCCCGGUAGUCCUAGCCGUAAACGAUGGGCACUAAGUAGAGGGGUUUU
rnacentral:rRNA from 1 species